UUCCCUAUCGUGUAAGAGUAUAGGAUUUAAACACGGGUCGGCAUUGUAAAUAUUAACUUCAUUUAAAUUAACAACAAGAAUAUAUAUGAUUUAACUACAUGAAACCAAACACACACCCGAAGCAACAACACCCUCGCUCGCUCUCCGGCUCUUUGCCAACUUCAUUAUGUAUAUAUUGUACAUGCGAAUAUUAAUGGGAAUAUAUAUCAUCUUUAAUUAUCCGAUAUCACGAUAAGUAGAUUAAAUGGUACGUAAAGCUAACAUUACAAGAUUAUCUUUCAUCACAUCCAUCUAAAAAUGUAUGCAUUUGGUAAAAGCUAUAUCCGGCUGAAAAUCUAACCUGUUUAUUUUUCAGAAAAUGAAGAAAGGAUCCAUAUUAUGUGUAUGUGUUUUGAUGGUAUUAAUUUCUGAAGUAGAAUGUUAUGGUACAGGUCUUGGAAUGUAUAAUUCAGCAACAGGUGUUUUAAUGCACCUAUUUGAACUCAUAAAGAACGUCGCCCAAAUGGUCGGGCGUAGUGUAACAAAUUACAUAGCGACUUCCUGGACAGUUGAAUCAGUAUGCGGGACGUACUUCUAUUUAAAGAAGUGCACAGAUAUGGCAAAUAACUGUGGUUACAUCUGUGAUAUAUUAAGUCCUAUCUGCGGUGCAAUGGCACCCAUAUCAGAUAUUACCACAAAACUUUUGUGUGACAAAGACGCCACAUUUUAUUCAGUUAUGAAAGACGAACUCAUAAAAGCA